AGCGAACGCUGGCGGCAGGCCUAACACAUGCAAGUCGAACGAACCCUUCGGGGUUAGUGUCGGACGGGUGAGUAACACGUGGGAACGUGCCUUUAGGUUCGGAAUAACUCAGGGAAACUUGUGCUAAUACCGAAUGUGCCCUUCGGGGGAGAGAUUUAUCGCCUUUAGAGCGGCCCGCGUCUGAUUAGCUAGUUGGUGAGGUAAUGGCUCACCAAGGCUACGAUCAGUAGCUGGUCUGAGAGGAUGACCAGCCACAUUGGGACUGAGACACGGCCCAAACUCCUACGGGAGGCAGCAGUGGGGAAUCCUGCGCAAUGGGCGAAAGCCUGACGCAGCCAUGCCGCGUGGAUGAUGAAGGUCUUAGGAUUGUAAAAUCCUUUCACCGGUGAAGAUAAUGACUGUAGCCGGAGAAGAAGCCCCGGCUAACUUCGUGCCAGCCGCCGCAGUAAAAC
rnacentral:rRNA from 1 species